AGCCAGACUCCUACGGGAGGCAGCAGUGGGAGAUAUUGCACAAUGGGGGAAACCCUGAUGCAGCGACGCCGCGUGAGUGAAGAAGUAUUUCGGUAUGUAAAGCUCUAUCAGCAGGAACGAGACAAGACGGUACCUGACUAAGAAGCCCCGGCUAACUACGUGCCAGCAGCCGCGGUAAUACGUAGGGGGCAAGCGUUAUCCGGAAUCACUGGGUGUAAAGGGAGCGUAGACGGCUGAGCAAGCCUGAAGUGAAAGGCGGGGGCCCAACCCCCGGACUGCUUUGGGAACUGUACGGCUGGAGUGCAGGAGAGGUAAGUGGAAUUCCUAGUGUAGCGGUGAAAUGCGUAGAUAUUAGGAGGAACACCAGUGGCGAAGGCGGCUUGCUGGACUGUAAAUGACGCUGAGGCUCGAAAGCGUGGGGAGCAAACAGGAUUAGAUACCCUAGUAG
rnacentral:rRNA from 1 species